GACGAACGCUGGCGGCGUGCUUAACACAUGCAAGUCGAACGGAAAGGCCCUGCCUUUGUGGGGUGCUCGAGUGGCGAACGGGUGAGUAACACGUGAGUAACCUGCCCUUGACUCUGGGAUAACUUCAGGAAACUGGGGCUAAUACCGGAUAGGAGCUCCUGCUGCAUGGUGGGGGUGGGGAAGUUUCGGCGGUUGGGGAUGGACUCGCGGCCUAUCAGCUUGUUGGUGGGGUAGUGGCCUACCAAGGCGUUGACGGGUAGCCGGCCUGAGAGGGUGACCGGCCACAUUGGGACUGAGACACGGCCCAGACUCCUACGGGAGGCAGCAGUGGGGAAUAUUGCACAAUGGGCGGAAGCCUGAUGCAGCAACGCCGCGUGCGGGAUGACGGCCUUCGGGUUGUAAACCGCUUUCGCCUGGGACGAAGCGUGAGUGACGGUAAUGGGUAAAGAAGCACCGGCUAACUACGUG
rnacentral:rRNA from 1 species